AUGCCAUGACGAGUACAUUUCUGCAACAACUCCUUGAAUCACUCCCAUGCAUCAUAGAGAGAUUCAUAGUCAAGUUGUUGAAAUGUGGCAAUUCGUUUCUGAGCUU
rfam:Gossypium raimondii Chr10_contig_799, whole genome shotgun sequence.